UACAGAGGGGGCAAGCGUUAAUCGGAAUUACUGGGCGUAAAGCGUGCGCAGGCGGCUAUGCAAGUCAGAUGUGAAAUCCCCGGGCUCAACCUGGGAACUGCAUUUGUGACUGCAUGGCUAGAGUACGGUAGAGGGGGAUGGAAUUCCGCGUGUAGCAGUGAAAUGCGUAGAUAUGCGGAGGAACACCGAUGGCGAAGGCAAUCCCCUGGACCUGUACUGACGCUCAUGCACGAAAGCGUGGGGAGCGAACAGG
rnacentral:rRNA from 1 species